rnacentral:rRNA from 1 species
UGGGCCUACGGGACGCAGCAGUGAGGAAUAUUGGUCAAUGGCCGAGAGGCUGAACCAGCCAAGUCGCGUGAGGGAUGACGGCCCUACGGGUUGUAAACCUCUUUUGUCGGGGAGCAAGACCCGCCUCGUGCAGGCGGAGCGAGAGUACCCGAAGAAAAAGCAUCGGCUAACUCCGUGCCAGCAGCCGCGGUAAUACGGAGGAUGCGAGCGUUAUCCGGAUUUAUUGGGUUUAAAGGGUGGGCAGGCGGAACAUCAAGUCAGCGGUAAAAUGGUGGGGCCCAACACCAUCCCG